rnacentral:rRNA from 1 species
GUCGAGCGGAACGAGUUAUCUGAACCUUCGGGGGACGAUAACGGCGUCGAGCGGCGGACGGGUGAGUAAUGCCUAGGAAAUUGCCCUGAUGUGGGGGAUAACCAUUGGAAACGAUGGCUAAUACCGCAUAAUACCUACGGGUCAAAGAGGGGGACCUUCGGGCCUCUCGCGUCAGGAUAUGCCUAGGUGGGAUUAGCUAGUUGGUGAGGUAAUGGCUCACCAAGGCGACGAUCCCUAGCUGGUCUGAGAGGAUGAUCAGCCACACUGGAACUGAGACACGGUCCAGACUCCUACGGGAGGCAGCAGUGGGGAAUAUUGCACAAUGGGCGCAAGCCUGAUGCAGCCAUGCCGCGUGUGUGAAGAAGGCCUUCGGGUUGUAAAGCACUUUCAGUCGUGAGGAAGGUAGUGUAGUUAAUAGCUGCAUUAUUUGACGUUAGCGACAGAAGAAGCACCGGCUAACUCCGUGCCAGCAGCCGCGGUAAUACGGAGGGUGCGAGCGUUAAUCGGAAUUACUGGGCGUAAAGCGCAUGCAGGUGGUUUGUUAAGUCAGAUGUGAAAGCCCGGGGCUCAACCUCGGAAUAGCAUUUGAAACUGGCAGACUAGAGUACUGUAGAGGGGGGUAGAAUUUCAGGUGUAGCGGUGAAAUGCGUAGAGAUCUGAA